rnacentral:lncRNA from 1 species
CGGGGAUUUACUAAAAGGAUACAACAAAAAAGCACACAAGUAUCCAGGGACAAAUGCUAAAGUGGAAUUAGCAGGCGCGCUGGACUGGAAAGUCAGGAAUCAGUCUUCUCCUUCUGAGCUUUAAGAAGCGAGCGACCAUGAGUUCUACUCUUGGGAGAAAAUGAAUUGUGCCGACAGCCACAUAAGCUCGGAAGAGGACACGGAGCCUCAGCUGAAACUUCAACCAGAGGCAGCAUUUUGAUUGCAUCUUUGUGAGAUCUUGAGUGCAGGACCUAGCUAUCGUGGCCAUUCCCAGAUUCCUGACGCGUGAAGACUGUAAGAUAGGAGUUACUUGAGAGCCUGAUACAGCAAAAACAAAUGAGUAAACCAAGAGAGGAAGACACGGGAUUCAGGAAACCAUUAUUAUGACUCAAGAGAGCAAUAAUGGGUCAUCCCAGGAUGAGGUCCAUGCCCAAGGCCCUGAGAGUACUGAGCCAGGACUGGAACCAAGAUAAAGAAGAGCUUCAGGAGGAAGAUUGCUAAGGAAAAAGGCCCCGAAAGAAUUGCAACUAUGAAUCACUAGAGAUUUGGAAGUGGACUUAACCCUCUUCAGAAGUAACAUCCACCAAAGCAUGAAUGGGCAGCAACACAUUAACUACAAAAUGGUAAUAUUUGGUUAAACCACACAGCAACUCCUGAAAGUUUAGAUGAAUAUUUGGAGGUUUUUGUUUAUCAUGAUUCUCAGAAGAGAAACAGUACUAGGAAUAACCCAUUUGCAAGGAAGCUAGAUUUUACAUGUGAAUUUAGAGGAUUUAAAGGUCAGUUGAGAACUACAUUUGACUUUGAUACUUUUAAGUAGGAUGUGUGCUUUGUAAUUUUAUUCUAAAGUAUGGUAUAAAAGAUUAUUCUAACUUUGAAGAGCACUAUUAUAAGUGCAUUUUGAGCCUAAUUUAUGAACACAGAAGGACAUUCUGACAUUCUUGAAGAUGUAAAGUAUGAAAUUUACUUAUAGUGAUGUUAUUACUGACACUGAUAUCAACUGAUCCUUGGAAUAAAGUUUACAAUAGGCAUGAUGUUGUUUUUGUUC